GAGUUUGAUCCUGGCUCAGAUUGAACGCUGGCGGUAGGCUUAACACAUGCAAGUCGUGCGAGAAAGUAUCUUCGGAUAUGAGUAGAGCGGCGGACGGGUGAGUAACGCGUAGGAAUCUACCUAGUAGAAGGGGAUAGCCCGGGGAAACCCGGAUUAAUACCGUAUACCUCCUUCGGGAGAAAGAAGGCCUCUCUUUGAAGCUUUCGCUAUUAGAUGAGCCUGCGUAAGAUUAGCUUGUUGGUGAGGUAAAGGCUCACCAAGGCGACGAUCUUUAGCUGGUCUGAGAGGACGAUCAGCCACAUUGGGACUGAGACACGGCCCAGACUCCUACGGGAGGCAGCAGUGGGGAAUAUUGGACAAUGGGCGAAAGCCUGAUCCAGCCAUACCGCGUGUGUGAAGAAGGCCUUCGGGUUGUAAAGCACUUUAAGCAGGGAGAAAAAGUUAUAAGUUAAUACCUUAUAACCGUGAUGUUACCUGCAGAAUAAGCACCGGCUAAUUCCGUGCCAGCAGCCGCGGUAAUACGGAAGGUGCAAGCGUUAAUCGGAAUUACUGGGCGUAAAGCGCGCGUAGGUGGUUUGUUAAGUUGGAUGUGAAAGCCCUGGGCUCAACCUAGGAGCUGCAUCCAAAACUAACUCACUAGAGUACGAUAGAGGGAGGUAGAAUUCAUAGUGUAGCGGUGGAAUGCGUAGAUAUUAUGAAGAAUACCAGUGGCGAAGGCGGCCUCCUGGAUCUGUACUGACACUGAGUGCGAAAGCGUGGGUAGCGAACAGGAUUAGAUACCCUGGUAGUCCACGCCGUAAACGAUGACAACUAGCUGUUGGAAGACAAUGUUUUUCAGUGGCGCAGCUAACGUUUUAAGUUGUCCGCCUGGGGAGUACGGCCGCAAGGCUAAAACUCAAAUGAAUUGACGGGGACCCGCACAAGCGGUGGAGCAUGUGGNUUAACUCGAUGCAACGCGAAAAACCUUACUACUCUGACAUACUUGGGAGCUNNGUAAUGAGNAGUNGUGCCUUUUGGGAACCAAGAAUACA
rnacentral:rRNA from 1 species